GACGAACGCUGGCGGCGUGCUUAAUACAUGCAAGUCAACUUGACUUUAGAUAGCAAUAUCGAAAAGUAGGGUGGCGCACGGGUGCGUAACGCGUAGGUAAUCUGCCCUGAGGUCUGACAUAACCCGUCGAAAGGCGGGAUAACAUCAGAUGAUAUAUAAUCACGACAUCGUGGAAAUAUCAAAUCUUCGGAGCCUUGGGAUGAGCCUGCGUCUGAUUAGGUAGUUGGCGGAGUAAUAGCCCACCAAGCCUACGAUCAGUAGCUGGUCUGAGAGGAUGAUCAGCCACACUGGAACUGAGACACGGUCCAGACUCCCACGGGAGGCAGCAGUAAGGAAUAUUGCUCAAUGGGGGAAACCCUGGAGCAGCAACGCCGCGUGAAGGAUGAAAUACUUUUGUAUGUAAACUUCUGUAAGAUGGGAAAAAUAUUCUCCUCGGGAGAAUUGAUUGUACCAUCAGAGUAAGCCCCGGCUAACUACGUGCCAGCAGCCG
rnacentral:rRNA from 1 species